ensembl:lncRNA
AUUAUUGGGAUGUCCUGCCCUGCGCAGCACACCCCGAUAAUUCCACCUGGUGCCUGAGAGCGUUGUCCGAACGCUUCUUGAGCUCUGACAGCCUUGGGGUCCUGACCAUUCCCUGGAAGCCCUUUCCAGAGGCCGCUCUGAAAACUUUUUCCUGACAUCCAGCCUAAAUCUCCCCGGGCUCAUCUUUAUGUCGUUCCCUUGUGUCUUGUCACUCACUGGUCACGAGAGUGAAGAGAGCGGUGUCUGCCCUUCUGCUGCCCCUCAGGAGGAGGUUGAAGACCACCAUGAGUGACAAAAUAAGCGCCUUCAGCUGCUACUCACACAGCUUCCCUUCCACACCCUUCCCCAUCCUCGUGGCCUCCUUUGGAUGCUCUCUAAGAGCAUAGUGCCUUCAUAAUGUGGUUAGCCUGGAGAAGACUGAAUGCAUAAAAAUAUCUCCUAGUGUGCUAAAAUGCUAGUGCAAGGGUCUUUUGGGUGCUGCCCAGAGAGGGUGCGGAGUGUCCCUCUCUGGAAAUGUUCCAAACCCAUCUGGACACAGCCCACUGUGUCCAUGCUCUGCAUGACCCUGCCUUGGUAGGGGCUUGGAUUGGGUGUCCCUUCCAGCCCUUACAAUUCCAUCAUCUUGGUGUGGGGUGGUAGAAGCCAUCAGGACAACCCUCAGGGUCUGUGCUGCCGAUGGCUCCAGCCCCACAGCGUCAAUGCUCCUGUGUCACCCGUGGCCCCUUAACUCUGACCAGGAACUGUCUGCGCUGCCUCAGUGCAAAGAUAAUGCAGAAAAAUGUCAAGGAUUGAAAGGGGUGUUGACCCCACAGCCACUGAUCUGGCUCUGACAGCAUUUGAAAAACAGAGUUCAGUUUCUGACUCCAUGGACAGCUUCAUUUUAACAGUGACAGUAACUCAAAGAAUGUUUUCUUAUAAACUAUGGGGUCAGAAUCACCACUUAAAGAAUUGUCUCCUCCCAUAACGUAAGUAUGAAAAUAUUUUAUCAUUCUGCUAAGUACAUUUUUUUCUCUCCAUGGGAAGAUGGUUUAUUUGUGUAGCUUUUAAUGUAAAUCACAUACACAAAUUCCCUGCACAUCUAAAUCACAGUCUAUCCUACAAUCUUUGACACUAGGAAUUUCUGCAGCAUGGGGUGUGAGAAUGUCUAGAUGUCCUAUAUGCCAGUGGAAAUAUGUAAAUUACUUGGAAAAUGGAUGGCAGAAUUUUAUGUUGGAUACAUGAUCAAUCAAAAAAAGUGAAAUUUUGUAUCGUAUUAAGCAAUGUUAUAUGUAUUCCUUCCAUUUUUCAUGUUUGUUUUCCCAGCAUUAGGGUUUUCUUCUUUCAGCCAUUGAAGAUGCCAUUGUUUCCUGUGGUGGUAAUAAGGAGAAAAAAAUGAAAAAUUGCUGUUACUGGUAAAGAAAAAAAAAAAAAAAAAAAAAAGAGUCAGGCCAUCCUAACUGGGGUCUUACAUUCCUGCACCCUGAGAAAAUGAGAAUAUGCUACCAAAUACUGAGGUAAUUUCCUAAUCAGUAUGCAAAAAUCAAAUGCUCAAAAAACUUUACAAUUCUCUAUUAACUGGGGAGUCCCAUGAAAAUACUUGGUUUAGUCACAGGCAGUACACUUCAACUCUGGUCACCUCAUCUUUGUGCAUAAAUGAAAGGUGAUAGUAAAAAUAAAAUAUAAACAAGAGGCUAGCAAGGAUGAAGGAAUGGCUUGUGCUUGAGAAGAGAUUAAAGCUCCCAGUGUGGUUCAUGUUGGAAAGUGACUUGGAAAGAAGGGAAGGUGAACAGUCUGACUUAUCAUGAACAGGGAACAAUUUGUCAUUGCACAAUAACUAAGUGAUUACAGGCACUCAUGGCUGUCAGGCCCCAGACUGUUCAGCACAGAGUGUAAUUUCAAGCCUUAUCUCUUAUGGUGAAAAAUUUGACCUCAUACUAUCUCAGAUGCUGAAAAAUACUCAUGGUUUCCAGAGGCAGUGAGGGUGAUUGCAGGAAGAAAGGCUGGAAGGAGAUGUCCUGCGUGGUGACUGCAAAUACCAGUUCUCUGAGGUCUUGGGUGAAGCCCUGGAUUCAUCAGUGACACUUCAGAAAGCCCAGGGAUGUACAUGUAUGUCUGGAUUGCCCAAAAGUUGUGGGUUUGAACCCAGAAUCCAGCUGCUGCUCAGGUAUCAGAUCCAGGCACUGAACACGUCACUGUGUGUUGAGUUUCACCUGUUGUUCCUCCAGGACUUAAGCCCAGAGAUGGAUUCUCACUUCUGGCUGUAGUUAAGUCUCCUGGAAAUGCUGUAACUCCAUGCUGAGCUUUUGCCAGACAUAUGCACAAAGUGAUUAAAGUUUAAUUUGCAGUGAGUUUUUGAAGUGGACUUAAAUUCCCUCCAGUACACUUGCUCCCACGUAAUUCAUCCUUGGCUCUGCUAUGACAGCACAUUUCAAACACAUUAUGGCUGUUAUUCAUUAUUCUGCCUUCAAAGCAGUGUUCCUGAAUUUUAGCUGAAGAUUUAUUUUGAUAUAAAUUUUUUCAGAAUGAAAGCAACUGAUUGUUUCACCAAAAAAAAAAAAAAAAAA